CUUUAUCACGGCCAGGCAUGGGUGGAAACCCAAGUUCUCCACUCAGCCUUCACGGUCCCCAGAGGAGUCCUCAUUAUUGCUAGCAGGGGUGGAGUUAGGGACGUCCACUGAGACCUCCCCGGAGUGGUGGGUCGGCGCCAUUACCAUUCCCCGCAUGACCCGGAUGAUGGCGGGGUGGAGGAGGAGUCAGGAGUGGUUGCCUGAUUAGUUCCGGAAACUGGCGGAAAUGCUGGCUGUCCGUGUAGCAUCGCCUGGCACUGCCUCUGAGGGGGAGGAAAAAAGGCUUUUGGAGUGGAACGCUGGAACAAUGAGCAAGAGGCUUCUCUGGCGAAGGUGAAGUCCCGAACCAGGCAGAGAGGCCUGGGGGACACACCCCUGCUGUGUCCGAGAACUUCGCCUUUUUACCGCUGCUUCACCAAAGCCAGUUGCUGCUUCUUGUUUCCACUGACCUUUGCCAGCAAAAUGAACACAGCUUGGGCCCCGUUUCCUCCCACUGCACACUUGUGAACGGAAGUCUCAGGUGCAUGAAUCUGCCUGGUGAGCUCAGCUGCUGUGUUUUGCCCUAACUUCAAAGACGGCCAGGGGAAAUGAGUUUUGUGAUUUCCACUCUAGGGAGGCAGGGGAAAUUUCAUGGUACCUCAAAGGUGUCCAGAUCGACGGACACCCACAAAACAUAACCCGUGUCCACACACUGGACACUGUCAAAGUGGCCACUGUGACUAAAGGCUUCAUAUGUUCUCAGAGACCAGCUGACUCACAGACUCA
ensembl:lncRNA